GGUAAAUCCAGGUUCCCCCCAACCUUUAUUAAUGCCGUCCGAGCACUCUAUUCGCACCCCACAGCCAGAGUCCUAAACUCUGGGUUUAUAUCCAAACAAAUACACAUCACCAAUGGGUCACAACAGGGGUGCCCCCUAUCACCGCUACUCUAUAUCCUGGCACUGGAACCCCUGGCAGCGGUCAUUAGAGCCGACCCAGACAUACAAGGAGUACACCUGGGGGAUAACGAAUACAAGCUUAACUUGUUCGCGGAUGAUAUCCUAGUAACGCUAACGCACCCCAUAAUCUCCCUACCAAAGCUGAUGGCAAGAAUCCAAGAGUACGGGGCAGGGUCCUAUUACAAGUUAAAUGUAAUGAAAACCCAAGCCCUAGGAAUAAAAUUAGGUGGCAAUCUUGCAAACAGACUGGUGAGGGCAUUCCCCCUAGACUGGAGACCACCUAAUGUUCUUGGGCCUCAAAAUAACCAAGAACCCAGCCCACUUGUUCUGACACAAUUAUGCCCGAAUGCUGAAAGACUUUUCAGACACCCUACACACCUG